ensembl:ncRNA F18A11.8 ncRNA
UUGGAAAAAUGAACGGUUUUACACUAUCAGAGAGAUAAGAAAAACACUUUAUCAGCUAGUUUAUGCGGGAAUGUGUCGUACGGCGAGUGGAAUGCAAGUGAACGCUCGAGCCACACCCAGUGUCCAGUGAACUA